CCUACGGGAGGCUGCAGUGAGGAAUAUUGGUCAAUGGACGAGAGUCUGAACCAGCCAAGUAGCGUGAAGGAUGACUGCCCUAUGGGUUGUAAACUUCUUUUAUAUGGGAAUAAAACGUUCCACGUGUGGGAUUUUGUAUGUACCAUAUGAAUAAGGAUCGGCUAACUCCGUGCCAGCAGCCGCGGUAAUACGGAGGAUCCGAGCGUUAUCCGGAUUUAUUGGGUUUAAAGGGAGCUUAGGUGGAUUGUUAAGUCAGUUGUGAAAGUUUGCGGCUCAACCGUAAAAUUGCAGUUGAAACUGGCAGUCUUGAGUACAGUAGAGGUGGGCGGAAUUCGUGGUGUAGCGGUGAAAUGCUUAGAUAUCACGAAGAACUCCAAUUGCGAAGGCAGUUCACUGGACUGCAACUGACACUGAGGCUCGAAAGUGUGGGUAUCAAACAGGAUUAGAUACCCCUGUAGUC
rnacentral:rRNA from 1 species